rnacentral:rRNA from 1 species
GGGCCCGCACAAGCGGUGGAGCAUGUGGUUUAAUUCGAUGAUACGCGAGGAACCUUACCAGGGUUUAAAUGCAGAACGACAGGGGUGGAAACACCCCCUUCUUCGGACGGACUGCAAGGUGCUGCAUGGUUGUCGUCAGCUCGUGCUGUGAAGUGUCGGGUUAAGUCCCAUAACGAGCGCAACCCCCAUUUCUAGUUGCCAGCGGUUCGGCCGGGGACUCUAGAGAAACUGCCAGCGUAAGCUGUGAGGAAGGUGGGGAUGACGUCAAAUCAUCACGGCCCUUACGUCCUGGGCUACACACGUGCUACAAUGGUAGGGACAGAGAGUUGCCAACCCGCGAGGGUGAGCUAAUCUUCAAACCCUAUCUCAGUUCGGAUCGGAGUCUGCAACUCGACUCCGUGAAGUUGGAAUC